rnacentral:rRNA from 1 species
CAAAGGAAGUUGAGGGGGGCCCGCACAAGCGGUGGAGUAUGUGGUUUAAUUCGAUGCAACGCGAAGAACCUUACCUGGUCUUGACAUCCCGGAGACCCUUAGGAAACUAGGGGGUGCUUCCAUCUGGAAGAAUCUGGAGACAGGUGCUGCAUGGCUGUCGUCAGCUCGUGUCGUGAGAUGUUGGGUUAAGUCCCGCAACGAGCGCAACCCUUGCCUUUAGUUGCCAGCAGUUCGGCUGGGCACUCUAAAGGGACUGCCGGUGUUAAACCGGAGGAAGGUGGGGAUGACGUCAAGUCCUCAUGGCCUUUAUGACCAGGGCUACACACGUACUACAAUGGCCGAUACAAAGGGCAGCGACACUGCGAGGUGAAGCCAAUCCCGUAAAAUCGGUCUCAGUCCGGAUUGGAGUCUGCAACUCGACUCCAUGAAGUUGGAAUCGCUAGUAAUCGUGGAUCAGCAUGCCACGGUGAAUACGUUCCCGGGCCUU